rnacentral:rRNA from 1 species
GGUUAAGCGACUAAGCGUACACGGUGGAUGCCCUGGCAGUCAGAGGCGAUGAAGGACGUGCUAAUCUGCGAAAAGCGUCGGUAAGGUGAUAUGAACCGUUAUAGCCGGCGAUGUCCGAAUGGGGAAACCCAGUGCAAUUCGUUGCACUAUCGUUAACUGAAUACAUAGGUUAACGAGGCGAACCGGGGGAACUGAAACAUCUAAGUACCCCGAGGAAAAGAAAUCAACCGAGAUUCCCCCAGUAGCGGCGAGCGAACGGGGAGCAGCCCAGAGUCUGAAUCAGCUUGUGUGUUAGUGGAACGGUCUGGAAAGUCCGACGGUACAGGGUGAUAGUCCCGUACACCAAAAUGCACAGGUUGUGAACUCGAAGAGUAGGGCGGGACACGUGGUAUCCUGUCUGAAUAUGGGGGGACCAUCCUCCAAGGCUAAAUACUCCUGACUGACCGAUAGUGAACCAGUACCGUGAGGGAAAGGCGAAAAGAACCCCGGCGAGGGGAGUGAAAAAGAACCUGAAACCGUGUACGUACAAGCAGUGGGAGCACCUUCGGGUGUGACUGCGUACCUUUUGUAUAAUGGGUCAGCGACUUAUAUUCUGUAGCAAGGUUAACCGUAUAGGGGAGCCGCAGGGAAACCGAGUCUUAACUGGGCGUUAAGUUGCAGGGUAUAGACCCGAAACCCGGUGAUCUAGCCAUGGGCAGGUUGAAGGUUGGGUAACACUAACUGGAGGACCGAACCGACUAAUGUUGAAAAAUUAGCGGAUGACUUGUGGCUGGGGGUGAAAGGCCAAUCAAACCGGGAGAUAGCUGGUUCUCCCCGAAAGCUAUUUAGGUAGCGCCUCGUGAACUCAUCUUCGGGGGUAGAGCACUGUUUCGGCUAGGGGGUCAUCCCGACUUACCAACCCGAUGCAAACUACGAAUACCGAAGAAUGUUAUCACGGGAGACACACGGCGGGUGCUAACGUCCGUCGUGAAGAGGGAAACAACCCAGACCGCCAGCUAAGGUCCCAAAGUCAUGGUUAAGUGGGAAACGAUGUGGGAAGGCACAGACAGCCAGGAUGUUGGCUUAGAAGCAGCCAUCAUUUAAAGAAAGCGUAAUAGCUCACUGGUCGAGUCGGCCUGCGCGGAAGAUGUAACGGGGCUAAACCAUGCACCGAAGCUGCGGCAGCGACACUAUGUGUUGUUGGGUAGGGGAGCGUUCUGUAAGCCUGCGAAGGUGACCUGUGAGGGUUGCUGGAGGUAUCAGAAGUGCGAAUGCUGACAUAAGUAACGAUAAAGCGGGUGAAAAGCCCGCUCGCCGGAAGACCAAGGGUUCCUGUCCAACGUUAAUCGGGGCAGGGUGAGUCGACCCCUAAGGCGAGGCCGAAAGGCGUAGUCGAUGGGAAACAGGUUAAUAUUCCUGUACUUGGUGUUACUGCGAAGGGGGGACGGAGAAGGCUAUGUUAGCCGGGCGACGGUUGUCCCGGUUUAAGCAUGUAGGCUGAUUGUCCAGGCAAAUCCGGAUAAUCAAGGCUGAGGUGUGAUGACGAGGCACUACGGUGCUGAAGUAACAAAUGCCCUGCUUCCAGGAAAAGCCUCUAAGCAUCAGGUAACAUCAAAUCGUACCCCAAACCGACACAGGUGGUCAGGUAGAGAAUACCAAGGCGCUUGAGAGAACUCGGGUGAAGGAACUAGGCAAAAUGGUGCCGUAACUUCGGGAGAAGGCACGCUGGUGUGUAGGUGAAGUCCCUGCGGAUGGAGCUGAGACCAGUCGAAGAUACCAGCUGGCUGCAACUGUUUAUUAAAAACACAGCACUGUGCAAACACGAAAGUGGACGUAUACGGUGUGACGCCUGCCCGGUGCCGGAAGGUUAAUUGAUGGGGUUAUCCGUAAGGAGAAGCUCUUGAUCGAAGCCCCGGUAAACGGCGGCCGUAACUAUAACGGUCCUAAGGUAGCGAAAUUCCUUGUCGGGUAAGUUCCGACCUGCACGAAUGGCGUAAUGAUGGCCAGGCUGUCUCCACCCGAGACUCAGUGAAAUUGAACUCGCUGUGAAGAUGCAGUGUACCCGCGGCAAGACGGAAAGACCCCGUGAACCUUUACUAUAGCUUGACACUGAACAUUGAGCCUUGAUGUGUAGGAUAGGUGGGAGGCUUUGAAGCGUGGACGCCAGUCUGCGUGGAGCCAACCUUGAAAUACCACCCUUUAAUGUUUGAUGUUCUAACGUUGGCCCCUUACCGGGGUUGCGGACAGUGUCUGGUGGGUAGUUUGACUGGGGCGGUCUCCUCCCAAAGCGUAACGGAGGAGCACGAAGGUUAGCUAAUCCUGGUCGGACAUCAGGAGGUUAGUGCAAUGGCAUAAGCUAGCUUGACUGCGAGCGUGACGGCGCGAGCAGGUGCGAAAGCAGGUCAUAGUGAUCCGGUGGUUCUGAAUGGAAGGGCCAUCGCUCAACGGAUAAAAGGUACUCCGGGGAUAACAGGCUGAUACCGCCCAAGAGUUCAUAUCGACGGCGGUGUUUGGCACCUCGAUGUCGGCUCAUCACAUCCUGGGGCUGAAGUAGGUCCCAAGGGUAUGGCUGUUCGCCAUUUAAAGUGGUACGCGAGCUGGGUUUAGAACGUCGUGAGACAGUUCGGUCCCUAUCUGCCGUGGGCGCUGGAGAAUUGAGGGGGGCUGCUCCUAGUACGAGAGGACCGGAGUGGACGCAUCACUGGUGUUCGGGUUGUCAUGCCAAUGGCACUGCCCGGUAGCUAAAUGCGGAAGAGAUAAGUGCUGAAAGCAUCUAAGCACGAAACUUGCCCCGAGAUGAGUUCUCCCUGAGACUAUAAGUCUCCUGAAGGAACGUUAAAGACGAUGACGUUGAUAGGCCGGGUGUGUAAGCGCAGCGAUGCGUUGAGCUAACCGGUACUAAUGAACCGUGAGGCUUAACCUU